CCGCUACACGCCGGGGCUGGAAACCGGGAGCUGCCGGCCCCAGCCCCGGAAUCGCCCCAGGCUGGAAGGGGCCGCCUGGGCGCUGAGAGGGAAAAUGGGGGUCCGGGAGCUCACAGACACUCCGCGAAAGCGUCCCACCAGGGCUAAGGCGAGCUCCUUCACGGGCACCUCGGUGCGAUUCUGGCCGUAGGUUCCUGUACAGCCUCCUGCCCAAAAAGGGGGUACACCGGGGUGGUCAGGGCUUUAUCCUGCAGACCUCUACGGAUGGAGCCGGCGCAUCCUCUCCAGACAGCCUGCUGACUGCCGGGCUGUGCUCGUGGGGAAAACGUUACUCCGUGUAUCUGCUCUGAACCUCCCUGGUCCCAGCUCUCAUCCUUCCACUACGUGCCUGGUUUCAUCCUCUCGCCAUGACCACCUUGCAGGCAUUGGAGGGCUCCUUCUCCUUAUCCUCAGCCGAAACUGGCUGCAGGGUCAGCACCUUUCUUCCCAAAUCCCUGAACUCUGUUUUCUCCCCACACAGGAGCUGCUGGUGGGUUUACCCCAUGGGAUGGCCAUACACUGUGGUGAGCCAUACCAGUCACAUGUGAAGAGCGACCCCCUGCAAAAAGGAACUGACUCUGCUAAAUGGCACCACUUACUCACUCUGAGCCUCAGCAGGAGAGGAAAUGUCUGCAAGACUAUGACUUGUCCCAUUUUCUCUCCUCCAAAAGAAGGAAGUGAGAAUCACCUUUUAUUGAGAAGUGCUCAGCACCAAUAAAACCCCAGGGGUGAUUCAGGUUUUUGUGUGCUCAGCACCCAGUGUGUGUUGAGCUGUUCAGCCGUGUUGCUGGCUGGGUUUUGUUCGAGAAGUUUCUGCAGCAGAUCAGGUGUUUUGCAAUGGGAUUUGCAAGGUUGCACCAAGCUCUCUCCAUGCUUCUCUGAAGCCUGUGCUAUAAAGCUAGAUUUAGCUUUGCUAUGUGGUGGGUUAGCUGCUAACUCCUCUUAAAACUCCCAUUGAGGGUGUAAUAUAUGGGCACAAGAACACACCAAAGUGUGUGCCAAGGAUGCUCUCUGCUGCAGGGUGUCCUCUUCUGCUCCAUACUGAGAACAUCAUGAUGACAUGGUCUUGAGAGUAUGAAAAUAAAUUCUGGCUCCAGUGACUUAUUAGUAUCUCAACCAAACCCUUGGUGUCAAGAUGUUUGUGAGAUGGGGUAGUUUUAUCAAAAUGUUCCCAAAUGUUGAUGAAACCUCUAAGAAACCUUAGGCUGGAAGAGGGUCCUUAAGCUGAGUGCUCUCAUCGGUGAGGUUUAUCAAUUAAACAUUUCCUUACCCUAAUAUGUUAUUUGUAUCUCAUCUGUUUUAUUGCCUGGCAAUUUCAUGAUGUGCUUAAAUCUGCCCAAAGUCAGGGAAGAGGUCGUCCUGUGCUCCCUUUCUGUCCCUGGCACAUGUUCCCUCUCCUGUCCUUUGUGUCACUUGCAGCAACAUGAAUCUGAAGACUUAUCUUUAAUUGCUUUUUCGUUGCAGAGUGAAUUUCUAGUUGGAUCAGGAGCUGGCAAGAGUGUAUGGCCAAGGUGCAGGAGAGAGCAGGGCAGCCCCUUCCAGCAUCAGUUCAGGCAUACGCAUUCACUCUGAACAUCACUAUGGACCCAUAGAAACCUGAUUUAUCUCAGUCUGGGCAAGCACAUGUUCAUCUUAUUCUGAAAGAGCUUUCAGGUUUGAGUUUCCACAGCCAGUGGCUGAAGGAUCAGAGCUUGCUCUUGCAUGUAACUUCUACUAGUUUGCUUGACUGCCAUUUUUGGGGGAGGGGGGUGGUGGUGGUGGUAUUACUUUUUCCUGGAGCUCAGCCACUGUUUACAGAAGGUCAGAGGGCGCCUUCUGACAAUCCCCUAGUAGUCAUGCUGUUGCCUUGUCAGUCUGCUUACAAAAGGAAGAUAACACCUCUGCCUGGAAACCUUGUCUGGCCUAGUGAUAACGAAAUCCUUGCUGCUUAACACAAAAUAAGGGUACUGUGACCUUUGAAGCCUGGCUCACAUCGGGAAAGGGCAUUUCCAAAGAAGAAGCUGAAACAAAAGCCCCAGAGCAGAUAAAGAACAGAGAACCAGUAUCUCCUCAGAAGUCAGAGGACUUCAUUGCGAUGUCAGGGUCACUAGGGUCAGCCAAGCCCUUUAGCUGGACCUCUGGAAGAUCCACCUCUAGGAAAUGGCACUGCUGCAUCCUGGCAGCCUGCAAGGAUGAGACAUGCUUCUCUGUCUUGGCAGCUCUGGACAUAGCGGGUCUCAUUUGAAGGGUGUGUUGUGGAAUGAGAGAUGGUAUGUGACACAGGGCAAGACCCUCCUAGUGUAAAACCUCAAGAGGGAGAAAGACCAGGUCCACCUUGGACUGCUUGGUGUGGACACCUGUAGGAAGAAACACCACCACUACAUGAUGGUCCUUGAGUGCAGCAAGAGAAAAAUUUGACCUGCUGGUUGGGAGGCUGCCAUCAGACCAGCUGUUCAAAGCAAGCUAGGAAAAGAAUACAGGGAAAACCAGAUCCUUUUACUAGAAAUCAUUACAAAUUCCACAGAUCUUUUGACUGCCUCAGGCAGCAUCAGGGAAACCAAGUAAGAGCAAACCUGUUCGCUUUCUAAGCUUUAUGGCGAAAUAGGAGCAGCUCAAACCUGAUAAUCCUCAUUUUUAAGGAAAAACAGUUUCCAAAUCUCUCAGGGUUAAUUAACUCUAAUUUGCAGAUGUGGUAGCAAAGACAGAACAUGGCUCUGAACCUUGUCCAACUAAAGGAGCACAGAGAGAGAUCAGCUGCAGCUGAAUGAAAAAAUUACAACCUGAGGGGAAGCAGCUGUUAGAUAAGUUUUAAAGGGCAUCUGCAGCAUGGCUUGAUGGAGGGAAUGGGAAAUAGGGGGUUUGGAUUGGUGGUAGAUUAUUUGAGGGGUGUUGGGUCAGGCCAGCUUCCAGAAGUGGUGGAUUUGACCCAGUGUGUUAAGCCAGGAACUGACAUUUUCUGUUCUUUACAAAGUGGUUUCUUACAUUUUUCUCUUUUCUAUGGGCUCAGCCAUGCUUUUGUUCUGUAGCUGGCUGGAUCACAGUGCCCAGGGUUAAGAGCUAGCUCCUACGCCUCUCUGCCCUUCCCUGGGGAAAGACAAGAGGGGUUUUGUUUCUUCUCUAACAUUCACCAUGGCAAGCAGAGCUCAGCAGAAUGACGGAGGUAACAAGCCUCCCACAGUGACUUUUAAUUUUAAGAAGAUAGUAAGAAGAAGAGAAAUGUGCAUUACCCUGUCUGGUACACACUGGCAAAGUAGAUCAGAACAGAUCCAC